rnacentral:rRNA from 1 species
AUAGCGUAUAUUAAAGUUGUUGCAGUUAAAAAGCUCGUAGUUGAACCUUGGGCCUGGCUGGCCGGUCCGCCUCACCGCGUGUACUGGUCCGGCCGGGCCUUUCCUUCUGGAGAGCCCCAUGCCCUUCACUGGGCGUGUGGGGGAACCAGGACUUUUACUUUGAAAAAAUUAGAGUGUUCAAAGCAGGCCUUUGCUCGAAUACGUUAGCAUGGAAUAAUAGAAUAGGACGUGCGGUCCUAUUUUGUUGGUUUCUAGGACCGCCGUAAUGAUUAAUAGGGAUAGUCGGGGGCAUCAGUAUUCAAUUGUCAGAGGUGAAAUUCUUGGAUUUAUUGAAGACUAACUACUG